CCUACGGGUGGCAGCAGUGGGGAAUAUUGCACAAUGGGGGGAACCCUGAUGCAGCGACGCCGCGUGGGUGAAGGAGUGCUUCGGCAUGUAAAGCCCUAUCGGCAGGGAAGAAGCAAGACGGUACCUGACUAAGAAGCCCCGGAUACCUAGGUGCCAGCACCCGCGGUAAUACGUAGGGGGCGGGCGUUACCCGGAUUCAUGGGGUGUAAGGGGAGCGUAGACGGCUAAGCAAGCCAGGGGUGAAAGCCCGGGGCCCAACCCCGGGACUGCCUUUGGAACUGGCUGGCUGGAGUGCGGGAGGGGCAGGCGGAAUUCCUGGUGUAGCGGUGAAAUGCGUAGAUAUCAGGAGGAACACCGGCGGCGAAGGCGGCCUGCUGGACCGCGACUGACGUUGAGGCUCGAAAGCGUGGGGAGCGAACAGGAUUAGAUACCCUUGUAGUC
rnacentral:rRNA from 1 species